GGUGGGAUGGGGGUCGGGGGGUCCUGGGCCUGCAGUUGGAGGGUGCGGGCUGCGGCAGUGUCCCGCUGAGACAGGAUCUCCUCCAGGGAGGCACAGCGGCCUUUUUCUGCGGGGCUCAACUUCUUGGGUGCCUGGGGGGUGUAGGUGGCCCCUCUGUCUGGCUUUUCCCAAAGUCGGGGAAGGCCGCUUGCCCGGUCCGAGGAGGGCUGGAUGCGGUCUGAGUCUGCUCUCCGCCGGCUGCCUGCCAGCUGGGCCACAGACUUGUCCAGGUCGACUCGAAAGCUCUCAGCACAGGAGGUUGGUUCCUCAGGGGAAGGGUCUUCCUCCUGGAUCAGGUCCAAGGUCAGCAUGCCAUCCGAGGUAGAGGUUGAAGCCUGCAGAGGGAGAAGGAGGGAAUGAAGGGGGUAGAUUGUCGUUAGUGAGCAUUUCAGGACUGACUGCCUGAAAGAGAAGCAAGCUGUGGUCAUUUCCCUCCUCAACGUGCCUUCCCUGAAUGAGAAGCCCCCACUCCUGACACAGCCCUCUGACUUUGUUUCCUAUUGCUUAUUCCUUUGAUAGUGACUUAAACUUCUUUCUUUCUUUUAUUUUUCUGUGACUUAAUUUCUCCUGGGGGACUUCCGUGGUGGUCCAGUGGGUAAGAUUCCGCGCUCCCAAUGCAGGGGGUCUGGGUUCGAUCCCUGGUCAGGGAACUAGAUCCUGCAUGCAUGCCGCAACUAAGAGGCAGCAUGCCGCAACUAAAGACCCUGCAUGCCGUAACUAAGACGCGGCACAGCCAAACCAAGUUAGCAAAUAAAUAAAUAUUUUUUUAAAAUACCAAUUUAUUAAAAAAAAUAAUUUCUCCUGCUUGUUUCCCAUAUUUUCCACUUUACUACGAGCUUCCUGAAGAGUGUCUUUUUCCUCUGUAUUGUGGACUCUAAGCAUCAGUUGGGUUUGACACAUACAGGAUGCCUGGCAUGGCAGGGUAACUGUCCUUUUCCAUCUGUAUUCUCUGAGCCACACACCUCAACCCCCUCUGCUAUUUGGACCUCAGAACUUCUUGCCUUAAAAUAAAACUUGUUCUAUUUCCAGAAUACUGUAAUUAAAAAAAAAGUGAUAAUGGUAUUCAGCACCUUAUAUGUAUUGAUACAUAUGUUGUUUCAAUCACUCCUCACAGCAACCGUUCAAGUGGGCAUGAUUACUGCCCGACUUUACAGUUGGAGGCGGGCAGCUUCAGAGUACACUGCAAAGCUAGGUUCCAAUCCAGUUCUGUCUGAUUCCAAAGCCCAUGUUCUUUCUUUCUUUUUUUUAAAAAUUAAUUAAUUUUAUUUUAUUUAUUUUAGUUUUGGCUGUGUUAGGUCUUUGUUGCUGUGUGCGGGCUUUCUCUAGUUGUGGCGAGCGGGGCCUACUCUUCGUUGUGGUGCACAGGUUUCUACUGUGGUGGCUUCUUUUGUUGGAAGCAUGGGCUCUAGGUGCACGGGCUUCAGUAGUUGUGGCAUGUGGCUCAGUAGUUGUGGCUCGCGGGCUCUAGAGUGCAGGCUCAGUAGUUGUGGCGCAUGGGCUUAGCUGCUCCGCGGCAUGUGGGAUCUUCCCAGACCAGGGCUCGGACCCGUGUCUUCUGCAUUGGCUGGCGGAUUCUUAACCACUGCACCACCAGGGAGGCCCCCAUGCUCUUUCUACUAUACCCGAGUGCCUCUUUCCCUAGACACUUAGCGCUCAGACAAAUGAAAGAAAAUCCUUGUUCCUCUAAGUGCCUGUGAUACAUAAUGCUGUUAUCCGUCAGGACAGCUAGCCACCAGACAGUAGCUUAUGUUGCCUUGUACUGUAUUCAUCUCUUCUACUUUUCACUUCCCUUGUGGGUAUAUCUCAUUUUCCCCAAAGGAUGAUACAUUUAUUGAGGGCAGGACUUUCAAAUUCACAGUAGGUGCUGACUAAAUAUUUUUGGUUUGGAGGAAUCAAGAAAGGGAACAGGGUGGAGGGACUUCCCUAGCCUUUGACCUUGGUACACAAAUGCCUCUGGUGGGCUGUCUGAGAUACAGUCCUGUCUGAGAUGAACUGACGUGGAGUUGGCCCUUCAGCAAUUUUUACUUUCUUUCUUUUUUUUUUUUUUUUUGCGGUACACGGGCCUCUCACUGUUGUGGCCUCUCCCAUUGCGGAGCACAGGCUCCGGACGCGCAGGCUCAGCGGCCACGGCUCACGGGCCCAGCCGCUCCGCGGCAUGUGGGAUCUUCCCGGACCAGGGCAUGAACCCGUGUCCCCUGCAUCGGCAGGUGGACUCUCAACCACUGCGCCACCAGGGAAGUCCAAUUUUUACUUUCUUAUAGUCUUACAUACCACAGCCAUUAGGUGUCCCCGAGUUGGGGGGCGGCGGGAGUGCUGGAUUUUUGCCCUGUCUCGAGUUGGGUGUGCGAGAUAGCUGUCCUCCUCAACGGUGACCUGAAGAGAUGCACUGUGAGUCAUGGGUGCUAUUUGGAGACUCUGUCCCAACCCAGCUUCCCCUGAGGCCUGAACAUGCCUGGACUGGGAAUAAUCCCACCUCAUGAACAAUUUCUGAGCAAAUCCAAGGGCAAGGGAUGUAUUGGACAUGAAGGGGCUCCUUAAGCUGGCCCAGGGCUGGCCCAUACAUCAGAAAGUGGGGAAAGAGAAGUUGGCAGAAAAGACUUAGAAGUCAGAAGGAGAAUAGGGUUUCAAAAGGGAAAUAAAUAGCAGAGCUGGUGGGGAGCUAGUAAAUGGGGCCCACACCAUCCUCUUCCCUCUUCAGUGAGUCAUUCUGCUCCCUCUGCCUCAGCGUCCCCUUCCCCACAAUAAACCUCCUGACCUCAUCCAAGAUGCGGUUCUUGGCGCGGGUGAUGGCGGAGUUGAGGGCGUUGAUCCAUGAUUCCUUCUCUUCCGGACUCACUGCCAGGAAGAUCAAGUUGGGUGCCUGUGAGGAGAAGAUUCUUGUUUCAGUCAGGGUUUUACAUUUGGCCUCACCUUGACAGUGAAGAAGUAAGAAAUUAUAAUCUCAUUCUCUUAGACCCAGCUCUUGGAAGGAGAGAGAUUCUACUUCUGGAGUCAUCCGUAACUAAAGGAAAUCAGCCUCUAUUCCUGCAAAAUGCCACUGCUUGGAGGCUGUUUUAGAAACGACCAAUGAGGAGCUUAGAAGGGUACCAGAUAUUAAUACGGCACUGGAGAUAAUUAGAGGAGGUUUGGGGAAGGACAGGUACUAAAAUAAAGAUCUUUAAAUAUUUGAAGAAAUAGAAUUUGACAGGAAUGGCUUCCCUGGGUUUCCUCAGACAAGAGAAAUUAGAUUCAGAAUUUCAACCGCCUAUCACAGUACAGGGAAAAGUGGCUGUCUCCCAAGAGGGGUGUGUUUGUGUAUUUGUGUGUGUGUGUGUGUGUGUUAGAGAGAGAGAGACAGAGACAGAGAGAGGGAGAGAGAGAUGAUCUUUGUGGCUGGACAGUUUAAAGGCUGGCUUGCCUGGAAGGAAGGAAAUGGCCAUGAUAUUCUCAGGUUAAAUAAUAAAAGCUGGCAGGAGAGCAAUAAUUCAGGGCCUCUGAGCCAAGAGAGCUGAGAGAGAGAUCCUGAAGGGGCAGGUGCUCUCCUCUGCUCCCCACACCCCUGACCUGGUCGAUGUUCCGGUGGCCCAGGCGGCAGGCGGAGCGUACCGUGUUCCCAGGCUGUUUGGAGUGGGCAAGAGUGAACUUGCUAUGAUUCUUCUUGCUCCUGCUCUUGGAUUUCCGGAGCUCUUCACACUUCUCAUAGUCACUCAGGUCAAACACCUCUUGAACAUUUUUCUCAUCUUUUACCUAGGGGAGGGUUGGAGGUGAGGUGCUGAGGAUAAAAUUACUUAGUCCCUUCUCCCAAAUUGUUAGUUACUGACCAGUCUUGGGAACCAGAAGAAGCCUGAGAGGGGAGGGAUGACAGGUUACAGAAAGGCUGUCCUACCCAAGGCCCACAGAGGCCUGACAGUGGGGGGCAGCCCCCCAUGUCCUGAUUCCUCAGGUGGGUUUCCAUUUAAACCCUUUGUCCCCACUCCCCUCAGCCAAGCUACCAUUUCCAGAGCCCCAGUAGGUCUCUCUUCACUGUGACUCCCACUUUGUCCUUCAGAGGACAUGGUUACAGGGCUAACAGUUUAAUCCUAUCAUCCUGAAGUAAGCAAGACCUGGAUGGCCCUUGAUUGUCCAGAGGGAGGAGGUAAAGGCAGGGUCAAUAUCAGGGGAUGUCUGGAGGGAACGAAGGGCUGCCUCCGCCCUCCCCUGUCCUAUGUUUAUGCUGUUGCCUUCUUAUCCAUCCCAUUAUCCCCUGGCUCCUUCCUUAAAUACAUACUAUUAUGAAGAGACUGAUCUAUCUCCUUCUUUUCAGAAGCUUCAGCACCAUAGGACCAGCAGCCCCUGUGUUCAGUUUGUUGAGUUUGUUCAGACAGGGUGAAAAACACACCUGUAGUUCCUACCCCUCCUUCUUCCUUCCAAGGUACCGUGACAACCCAACCUAGCUCCUGUGGGCUUGAGAAGCCACUUAAUUAUCCACUGCUCUCUAGGCAAAGAUGCAUUUAUACUCUCCCUGGAGGACUACUUGGAAAAAAGUGUUCUGCUACCUGUUUCCAUGAUUCCAGUUUGAGCCCUUACUGCCAGGAAGUUCUUCCUUGUGUCUAAACUGAGCCCUUCCUGCUUGUAGAAGGUGCCAUCUUGCACCCGGUUCCACUCUCAGCAUUUCUAUCCAUCAUUUGGCUCUUAACUCUCUUGUUGAAUGUCUACUCAGAGACCACAGUUCCGUCUACAUCCUCCAACCCCAACCAGCCUUUUAUGAGCGCCACAAAGCAAAUUCUACUAACAUUUCUGCCAAGGUCCGUUUUAAACUUCUCAGGGUUUUUUCUCCUCUCCCCUAAGGUAUUCCCAUAGCCCUAAUCCUCUGAAGCUGUGAUUUGGCUUGCAAGAGGAAAGAAGUCUUCAUCACUGGCCUGGACGGAGCAGCCUGUGAUUAGAAAACCCUUUCACCCUCUGCUACUUGCGCCUGGGACUGGAAGACCCUGUGGAAUGAGCUGUUCAGGUUUUUCUGGGAUGAGAGAUGAAAACCACCAGCACUUGUCUUGUUAAAAUUAAACAGUCAAAAGUAGCCUCAUAUGUUCCUUGGAAGACAUCUACCCUCUCUGACUGGAAGUAUUUCACAAAAGAGUCCCCACAUCUCAAGCUCUGAAAUAGGAAUUGUGUGCCUGGAGGUGACUUCAUUAAUCCACCUGGUUCUCUCCUCCAUCCCCCAGCCGAUCUCUGCUCUUGUAUCUGCCUAUCCUUCUGACUUGGCACUGGACCCAGGGGGCUGACACAGACUCAUUCAGAUACGAUGGGGGUAGAGACCAACCAGACCGCUGAACUAGCUUUUGGAACAAAAUGAGGAAUGAGUUUCUUCACUUGAAAAUUGGAACCACAAGAAUAUUACCUUUCGGAUCAUGAAGAUUAAAUGAGAUAAUAUAUGAAAUGAAGUCAGAAGAUUGUCUGGCAUAUAGUACAUGCCCAAUUACUAUUAUCCCAAGUGAACAAAUGGACAAGUGUGUAAAGAUGUAUAUAAAAUCAUGUUUGUUAUAGCACUGUUUAUAAGAGUAAAAAAAAUAUAAACAAUGAAUAUCAAAAAAUAUUUGUUUUGUUCACUGCAAUAUAUCUAGUCUCAAGAUAGCUCUUGGAAUACAUAGGUGCUCAGUAAGUACUUGCUGAGUGAACAAAAAACUGAGGAUUGGUUAAAUAAUUUGUCACAUAAUCGGACAAUAGAAUGCUAUUCAGUUAUUAAAAAUGACAUAUAUAAGUAUUUUCAUUGAAAGUACACGUAUAGUAUAUUCCACUUUAUUUAAACAUACGUGUGUAUACAUUAAUAGGAAAAAACCUAAAAGGGCAUACAUCAAGAUGGUUGAUAUUUCCAAUGGUGUGAUGGUGGCAGUAUGAAUAUUUUUAUUAUCUUAUUUUUGCUUAACUGUAUUAAACUUUUUUCCUAUAAGGAUUACAUAUUGAUUUUGUAACAAAACGCUAUUUUAAAUUAAAAAAUAAGUUUCAAUGUACAAAUAAAUUGGAAUCAGGGGACACAGAUUUCAAUCUUGGGUUAAAUUUAGUUUUUUAAAAGAGCAUCUUGUUACAGUUAUUCAUUUAUAUGCCUAUUUUUCCAUUAGACACUGAGAUCUUCAACGACAUAGAAUAUGUCUUCAUCUUUCUAACACCUUGCACAGUACUUUACACAUAACAGUGCUCAAUAAAUGCUUGUCAGUGACAGGUGAUACACUCCAUCACAGCUCUUGGCAAUGGUGUUUUAACACUUUGGUUACAGGAGAAAAGUAAACUCUCCCAAAAAUCUCUACCAAGAGAUGGCAGAUGGUGAUGGUUCCAACAGUUUCAAAACUGAUUCUGAAAUACCUACAAGUGAAGAAGUGUCCUCUGAAUUCCUCUUCCUUUGAAAUGUAAAUUCUGUCACAGGAUCCUAAUUUUUCAGUAAAUAAUUCAGAGAUCAAACCAACUCGUGGUUAUAGGAGAAGGUCCAAGUCUCUAGUGUUACUUGUUUAGGUAGAAAUCUAUAAAGAACCUGUUGAUAAUAUGAAUCGGCAUCCUCCCAGCUUCAAAUCUAUCUACAGAAAUUCAAAAUGCUAACUGUUUUCUAAGCUCUAAACUGUACUCUCUACAAAAAAACACUAAUGUCCUGACUUUGUCAGAAUUAUAUUAUUACCAAAGCUCAGGCAUCAUCUCGGGUAGUAAUGAAACUAACAGCUGCCAUUAGUUAAUCAAGUUAGUCAUUUUUAUCCAAAGGGCAACACUGUCUUAAAUCUCAUUCUUAAUUAUCUUUGGAUGACAGAAAUCUUUAAACAAAACUAAAUGAUUCCUUACUUUUAUACUGUUUUUUCUCUGCUUUGGUUUACAAUAUUUUUUAGUAGGCAGAAAGCUUCACAUAUUUUCCAU